UACGAAGGGGGCGAGCGUUGUUCGGAUUUACUGGGCGUAAAGGGCGCGUAGGCGGCCCGCUAAGUCGAACGUGAAAUCCCCGGGCUCAACCCGGGAACUGCGUCCGAUACUGGCGGGCUUGAAUCCGGGAGAGGGAUGCGGAAUUCCAGGUGUAGCGGUGAAAUGCGUAGAUAUCUGGAGGAACACCGGUGGCGAAGGCGGCAUCCUGGACCGGCAUUGACGCUGAGGCGCGAAAGCCAGGGGAGCAAACGGG
rnacentral:rRNA from 1 species